AUUGAACGCUGGCGGCAUGCUUUACACAUGCAAGUCGAACGGCAGCGCGGGCUUCGGCUUGUCGGCGAGGGGCGAACGGGUGAGUAAUACAUCGGAACGUGCCCAGUAGUGUGGGAUAGCUCGGCGAAAGCGGGAUGAAUACCGCAUACGACCUGAGGGUGAACGCGUGGGAGCUGCGGACCUCGCGCUAUUGGAUCGUCCGAUGUCAGAUUAGCUAGUUGGUGGGGUAAAGGCCUACCAAGGCGACGAUCUGUAGCUGGUCUGAGAGGACGACCGGCCACAGUGGGACUGAGACACGGCCCAGACUCCUACGGGAGGCAGCAGUGGGGAAUGUUGGACAAUGGGCGAAAGCCUGAUCCAGCAAUGCCGCGUGUGUGAUGAAGGCCUUCGGGUUGUAAAGCACUUUUGGCGGGAACGAAAAGGACUGUGCCAAUACCACGGUUCGAUGACGGUACCCGCAGAAUAAGCACCGGCUAACUACGUG
rnacentral:rRNA from 1 species